UUCUGUUUGAGUUUGAAACUUAAAUUGAGCUUGGUUUGAAUCCACAGUUUUCUUGUCUAGCUACAAGUUUUGCCCCAUUUUAAGUCUAUAUUUUCGGAGAAACCAAGUACCAGAUUCAGCACCAGGACCCGUUUUCAGCUGGGAUACGUCACAGGUCUGGGCCAGUCCAAUAAGAAGAAACAGUUUUGUACCAGCACACCAUAGACAUAGUAGUUGCAACUGCAGAUGGAAAGAGAAGCCAGUCCAAGUCAUUAUAAGCUCCUCAAAGUGCUGGGACAAUCCAGGCAUCCCUU